rfam:Pseudomonas fluorescens HK44 Contig5, whole genome shotgun sequence.
ACCAAGCCCUGAGGAUCGCUGUCGUUGACAGCACCAGCCCAGGUAGCCCGAACCUUCAAGGCUACGCCACUGCGUGGUGGUUCUCCCUAAGUGCGAUCAGCAUCCGGUGGCUCGCACGGUCACAACGCCGUUGUGAUGGAUGC